rnacentral:lncRNA from 1 species
GAUUAUAGUGUUUAUAUUAUGUAGGAUUUAGAUAUUUAGUAUAAAACUUAAGAGAAGGUUGGAAUUUAAAGAUGAAAGUCUAAACUAUUAGCAGGCUUAUUGGGAAGGAUGAAAGCAAGAUAUGGUUGGAUGAAGGCAAGGGGUGAAGACCUUCAUCCCUAUUGCUCGAAUGUCAUGCCCAAUGGACUUCAAGGAGGCUGUCCGAAGCCUUAUUAAAGA